CAAGCAUGAGCUACUGCACCCGGCUGAAAGGAAAUAUAGUUGACCUUGAAUAAUGCAAAGCAUUAGGAGUGCCAACCCUCUGCACAGUUGAAAAUACAACUAACCAGACUUCACAUGAAAGUGGGAAAUGUUUAAUAUAGUUUUGAGAAGUGAAGAUUGAAAAAUAAUACAACAAUAAUGAGAUGAAGCUGUACAACAUCUGCGUUGAGCCAUUUGACCCAAGCAGUGAAUCAAAGAUUUCAAGUAAUGUGUAUUUUUUAUUAUUUUUCUCUUCUUGGGGUAACUAUAACACAAUAAAAAAGAAUUCAUAAAAAAUUCUAACGUAUUAGUCCAUUAUGCUGCUAUAUACAACUGUUGAGGACUGGGUAAUUUAUAAAGAAAGAGAUUUAAUUGACUCACAGCUUUACAUGGCUGGGGAGGCCUCAGGAAACUUACAAUCAUGGAGAAGACACCUCUUCCCAGCUUGGCAGGAGAGAGAAUGAGUGCGGAACAAAGAGGGAAGCCUCUUGUAGAGCCAUCAGAUCUCUUGAGAACUCACUCACUA